AACUCUUAGCAGUGGAUCACUUAGCUCGUGCGUCGAUGAAGAAGGCAGCUAGAUGCAAGAACUUAUGUGAAUUGCAGGACACAUUGAUCAGACACUUCGAACGCACCUUGCGGCCCCAGGGUCCUCCUGGGGCUAUGCCUGUCUGAGGGCCG
rfam:Salmo salar isolate Sally breed double haploid chromosome ssa03, whole genome shotgun sequence.